AGCAGCGUGGCUCAGUGGAAAGAGCAUGGGCUAGGAAGUCAGAGGUCAUGGGUUCAAAUCCCUGCUCUGCCG
rnacentral:tRNA from 1 species